rnacentral:tRNA from 1 species
UAGGUAGAGCACCUCGUUUACACGUGCGCCAAUGUUUUUUCGAGUCCGUAUAGCCCUACCUAACAUCACUACUA